rnacentral:rRNA from 1 species
UACGAAGGGGGCUAGCGUUGUUCGGAAUUACUGGGCGUAAAGCGCACGUAGGCGGAUUUGUAAGUCAGACGUGAAAUCCCUCAGCUUAACUGGGGAACUGCGUCUGAUACUGGCGGGCUUGAGGACAGGAGAGGAACGCGGAAUUCCAGGUGUAGCGGUGAAAUGCGUAGAUAUCUGGAGGAACACCGGUGGCGAAGGCGGCGUUCUGGACUGUUUCUGACACUGAAAAACGAAAGCCAGGGGAGCAAACGGG